CGCGUGGUGUCCGACGGAAAACACGGUUGGAUAGCGACGCGGCCUAAACAGAGGU
rnacentral:ncRNA from 1 species